rnacentral:rRNA from 1 species
GACGAACGCUGGCGGCGUGCCUAAUACAUGCAAGUAGAACGCACAGUUUAUACCGUAGCUUGCUACACCAUAGACUGUGAGUUGCGAACGGGUGAGUAACGCGUAGGUAACCUGCCUGGUAGCGGGGGAUAACUAUUGGAAACGAUAGCUAAUACCGCAUAAUAUUAAUUAUUGCAUGAUAAUUAAUUGAAAGGUGCAAUUGCACCACUACCAGAUGGACCUGCGUUGUAUUAGCUAGUAGGUGAGGUAACGGCUCACCUAGGCGACGAUACAUAGCCGACCUGAGAGGGUGAUCGGCCACACUGGGACUGAGACACGGCCCAGACUCGUACGGGAGGCAGCAGUAGGGAAUCUUCGGCAAUGGACGAAAGUCUGACCGAGCAACGCCGCGUGAGUGAAGAAGGUUUUCGGAUCGUAAAGCUCUGUUGUAAGAGAAGAACGGGUGUGAGAGUGGAAAGUUCACACUGUGACGGUAUCUUACCAGAAAGGGACGGCUAACUACGUG